ACAAUGGAGAGUUUGAUCCUGGCUCAGGAUAAACGCUAGCGGCAGGCCUAACACAUGCAAGUCGAGGGGCAGCGUAACGGGUAGCAAUACCUGUUGACGGCGACCGGCGCACGGGUGCGUAACGCGUAUGUAACCUACCGUUCACAGGGGGAUAGUCAGAGGAAACUUUGAAUAAUACCGCAUAAAACAGGGGUCCGGCAUCGGAAUAUUUGUUAAAGGUGGCGACACGGUGAACGAUGGGCAUGCGUUCGAUUAGAUAGUUGGUGAGGUAACGGCUCACCAAGUCUACGAUCGAUAGGGGGUCUGAGAGGAUUAUCCCCCACACUGGUACUGAGAUACGGACCAGACUCCUACGGGAGGCAGCAGUGAGGAAUAUUGGGCAAUGGGCGAAAGCCUGACCCAGCCAUGCCGCGUGCAGGAAGACGGCCCUAUGGGUUGUAAACUGCUUUUACUCGGGAAGAAUAAGGGUUACGUGUAACCCGAUGACGGUACCGAAAGAAUAAGCAUCGGCUAACU
rnacentral:rRNA from 1 species